rfam:Citrus sinensis cultivar Ridge Pineapple sweet orange scaffold00003_contig_409, whole genome shotgun sequence.
UUGCACUUAAUCAUAGGCCUUUCUAAUUUAUAUUAGAGCGGCCUGAGCUAGGUGCAUAGAGAAAAUCAGUUUUACUAGCAGAUGCUAUGCAACUGGGAAGAUGGAUCCACAGGUGAAUGGCCUGCUAUGCUACUUGCCUACUAAUUCCAUCACACAUGU